rnacentral:rRNA from 1 species
CAUGAAGCUGGAAUCGCUAGUAAUCGCGGAUCAGAAUGCCGCGGUGAAUACGUUCCCGGGUCUUGUACACACCGCCCGUCACACCAUGGGAGUCGGAAAUGCCCGAAGUCUGUGACCUAACCGCAAGGGAGGAGCAGCCGAAGGCAGGUCGGAUGACUGGGGUGAAGUCGUAACAAGGUACC